rnacentral:rRNA from 1 species
CAGGCUUAACACAUGCAAGUCGAGGGGCAGCAUGGUCUUAUCUUGCUAAGGCCGAUGGCGACCGGCGCACGGGUGAGUAACACGUAUCCAACCUGCCGUCUACUCUUGGACAGCCUUCUGAAAGGAAGAUUAAUACAAGAUGGCAUCAUGAGUCCGCAUGUUCACAUGAUUAAAGGUAUUCCGGUAGACGAUGGGGAUGCGUUCCAUUAGAUAGUAGGCGGGGUAACGGCCCACCUAGUCUUCGAUGGAUAGGGGUUCUGAGAGGAAGGUCCCCCACAUUGGAACUGAGACACGGUCCAAACUCCUACGGGAGGCAGCAGUGAGGAAUAUUGGUCAAUGGGCGAGAGCCUGAACCAGCCAAGUAGCGUGAAGGAUGACUGCCCUAUGGGUUGUAAACUUCUUUUAUAAAGGAAUAAAGUCGGGUAUGGAUACCCGUUUGCAUGUACUUUAUGAAUAAGGAUCGGCUAACUCCGUGCCAGCAGCCGCGGUAAUACGGAGGAUCCGAGCGUUAUCCGGAUUUAUUGGGUUUAAAGGGAGCGUAGAUGGAUGUUUAAGUCAGUUGUGAAAGUUUGCGGCUCAACCGUAAAAUUGCAGUUGAUACUGGAUAUCUUGAGUGCAGUUGAGGCAGGCGGAAUUCGUGGUGUAGCGGUGAAAUGCUUAGAUAUCACGAAGAACUCCGAUUGCGAAGGCAGCCUGCUAAGCUGCAACUGACAUUGAGGCUCGAAAGUGUGGGUAUCAAACAGGAUUAGAUACCCUGGUAGUCCACACGGUAAACGAUGAAUACUCGCUGUUUGCGAUAUACUGCAAGCGGCCAAGCGAAAGCGUUAAGUAUUCCACCUGGGGAGUACGCCGGCAACGGUGAAACUCAAAGGAAUUGACGGGGGCCCGCACAAGCGGAGGAACAUGUGGUUUAAUUCGAUGAUACGCGAGGAACCUUACCCGGGCUUAAAUUGCAGAUGAAUUACGGUGAAAGCCGUAAGCCGCAAGGCAUCUGUGAAGGUGCUGCAUGGUUGUCGUCAGCUCGUGCCGUGAGGUGUCGGCUUAAGUGCCAUAACGAGCGCAACCCUUGUUGUCAGUUACUAACAGGUUCCGCUGAGGACUCUGACAAGACUGCCAUCGUAAGAUGUGAGGAAGGUGGGGAUGACGUCAAAUCAGCACGGCCCUUACGUCCGGGGCUACACACGUGUUACAAUGGGGGGUACAGAGGGCCGCUACCACGCGAGUGGAUGCCAAUCCCCAAAACCUCUCUCAGUUCGGACUGGAGUCUGCAACCCGACUCCACGAAGCUGGAUUCGCUAGUAAUCGCGCAUCAGCCACGGCGCGGUGAAUACGUUCCCGGGCCUUGUACACACCGCCCGUCAAGCCAUGGGAGCCGGGGGUACCUGAAGUGCGUAACCGCGAGGAGCGCCCUAGGGUAAAACUGGUGACUGGGGCUAA